AAUGUGUUUUUCAUAUAAGGGACAAAAUUAAGAAUAUUUUGUCCAGUGUUAAGGAUUUGGGUAGAAGUACAUUUUACAAAAUAUCUCUCGUCUCUUCAUUUAGACUUAUUGUCACAUACAUUUACAGUCCUGAAAAUGUCAACCCCCUGUUCCUAUUCCCUCCAGUUUCUUAUAAAUCACAAUGUAAGCUAAAUGAAUCCCCUGAUCCCCAGGGAUGAGACAGACACUCCUGGGAGCUUCUAGAAUUUUUAUAAUGUAAAAAAUUUUCUUAAAAUCGGUUUGUGUAGUGUUAGUUCUGUAUCAGUAAUAUGUAACAUAACCAAACCAGAUGACAGCCUUAUCUGUGCUGGUUAUAGCGUUGCAUCAAUUCCUGUCCUGCUAUAUCUUGCACGCUGCUGUGAGAUACUGGAUGUUUCUCUGGACUCUGCACAGCCUGCACCUACACUGUAAAAAUAUCUUUAAAAUUUAUAGUAAAAAUUUGUAAAGUACCAACUGUUAGACUGUAACAUCCUAAACAUUAUUUUGAAAAUACAUUGAAUUACCAUAACUCAAACAUAAAUUUUGCAUUAUGUUUUCUACAUUUCUCUUAUGAAAUGUAGAAAACAGAAAUUUAUUGUAAAAAUUUUAGAAAUUGUAAAAUUAAUAGUUUGAUAUUGCUAGUAGUUAAUUAACAUAAGAUUAACAGUACACAUAGGCCAAAUUUUGCAGCUCUGUGAUGUGAAACCUUUAAUCGGACUGCAGAAAUUAUUUUUUACAGAGAAUAGAAUGCUGGUAUGAUAUUACCUAUUGUAAUCACAAGAUUUUUUUGUCUUAGACAUUAUUCUUUUUUUUUCCAUCUUUUUACAUGUCUUUUUGUAGGCCUUAACAUAUUCAAAAACUCACCAAACUUUGCCCAAUAUUGUUCCCAGUGUGAAAUUUUCGGAUUCCAGUGGAAUCAAAAGUGGACGUGGCCACAUUGCUUGACAUCGCCCCCUAACAGGAGAUAGGGCAAACCGUACAUUGUGGAGAUCUGAAAUUCUGUAUGUAGGUAGCUCACCCCAAGUGAAGAAAAAAGGUCUCCUGAAGGUUUGCCGUAAAAUGGACAGGGAGGCAGCCAUUUUGGGUCAAAGGGCAAAUUUUGGCCAUUUUUGAUAUUUUCACACUUUGAACUUUAACAAACUCUUCCUAGGAAUUUUGAGCUAUCAUCUUCAUUUUCGGUGAAGGGACAUAGUUAAGGGAUGGGGCAUUAAAAGUUAUCAACAUCAUGAGUUUUAGAGCAUGUUUGGGUGUGUGGCCAAGCAACAAACUCACAAAUGCAAAGAAAGCACUAUAGCUUUCACAUAAAAUGUUCAAUUGGCACCAAACUUGGUAUGAGUGAUCCACGUUGGAUGUUGUCAUAUUCUGACGUCAUCUAAGCCCCACCCCUUCAAAACAGGAAGUGACUUUUUUUUUUUACUUGGAAAGCUCCAGAGAUGGAGCUUGUGUCAGAAGACAAAUAACUAAAGGUGGGACCAAGUCAGUGUUUUACAAGUCUCAAGUAAGUCUCAAGUCUUUAUCCCAAGUCAAGUCUCAAGUAAAGACAGUCAAGUCAAGUCUCAAGUCAUGACAGGCAAAAGUUGAUGCAUUUGAAAGACCAGAUUUAUAUAGCAUGACAAAACAUUGCUUACAAGUGAAAGCUACGCUGCUUCAUCAAUGUAGCCUGGAGUACACUUGCUAAUGUAGCCUGGAGUACACUUGCUAAUAACACGAAGAUAGCUGAAGUCAACUAUCUCAUAGCAAAAGAAAAGUACCACCUACCAUUCUACUGUAUGUGCAACUUUAAACUUUAAAAAGUUGGAAGUUGUUGCAACCCCAUCUGAGAUCUUCAUGUAGAUUUUGCAUGUUACAGUCUGUUUUUGUUGCAUACUUCAUAAUUCAUGUACCCAAAAGAAAUUAUUCGCAGGAGCAUAUGUGCUUUUAGCGUUUUUUUCAUCUCCUACCGGCUCCCUCCCCGUUUAAAAUUUUUUAAAAAAAUAAAAGUUAAAGUAGAGGGACGGUCUACGUCUGUUUACACGGAAUGAGUGAAACAAAUUAAUGGGGCCCACUUUAUAAAUAAUGUGUUUUAAGCUAUAGAUUUUUUUUAAAAAUAUCAAGUCUUUUCAAGUAAACAGGUUCAAGUCCAAUUCAAGUCUUGAACCUGUUAAGAAGUUAAGUUCAAGUCUCUGAACAUUUUUUUAAGUCAAUUCUAAAGCCUUAAUAUUAAUUACUUGAGUCCAAGUCAUGUGACUUGAGUCCCCACCUGUGCAGAUAACAAGUUGGUCUUACUUACUUUAAAGUGCAAAGAGUUUUUUGCUGGAGGCCAUGGGCGUGACGAAGUCACAGGUCACGCCCGUUGCCAUACGUUGGCUCUAAAUUCCACAUAUUUCAGCCGAGCUGUACCAAACUCACUGUGAUCGGUCUUAAUCCACCCACAAAAGGAAUUCAGUCCAAUAUUUACUGGGCGUGGCCUAAUUCCCCCACAGCGCGCCCUAGAGUACUUUAAAUAAUCACCCCCAACCAAGCUUUGACUGACAAUCAUGAAAUUCAGCAUGUGUAUUUUCACAGGACCUUAAAAAAGUCUGUUGUAGCCAUGAAGUCGGCCAUUUUGGAUCAGAGCCACUUUUAUAAAAGUUGUAUCUGAGCGAACUCCUCCUACAGCUUUUGACAUACAGACUUCAGAAUCCCUCAGCAUCGUCUUUUGAGGCAUUGAAGGUUAAUAGUUAUCAAAAUCCUUUUCCUACAUCAAAGCGUUUGGACGUGGCCAACCUCAAAAUCUGACCAUUCGCCAUAAAGCAUCAAGGUGGAAUAACUUCCACACAGAAGCGCUCAGCUGCAUCAAACUUUCUUUGUGUCAUAAUAGGCCAAACCUAAUCAUAUGUACCUGGUAAACUGGUGAUAUCACCAAUUUGCCAUGUGAAUUAAUUAUAUUGAUUAUGUGUAAUUUUAUGCUCACCAUACAUCUGUCAUAUAGUAAGAUAGCGGUACGUUAGGCAAUGCUGUUUGCAAUGUAUUGUAGUGGGCAAAGAGGUAGUAGGCUUAGGGCAACAAGUCUCGACACAGUUUUUUAUGCGUUUUUCAGAUAACUUUGUGUUAGACUUCAAGGUUUACAGUUAAUGCAGUUACUGUUGUUUGUUAUGUAAACACGGAGUUCCCCAGAUUGUAUUUCUGCUUGAUAGCAGCAUCACUAUCAAGACCACAGUACUGUUUAACAUUUUUAACUCUGCAAUCCUACAGUUGAGCAGUAGCUCUGAGCUUCCUGAACUCAACACAGUGUUGUCAGUCCAAGUGCAUAAGUGCUAGCUAGAAGGCGCUAGUUAAUGGUGCUGAGACUGGCUUGGACUGGUCCGUCGAAGGCUGCAGCCACUGAACUGAGACGCAACCUUUGAAAUCAAGUUUCCGCUAUUUCUGCACACUCGGAAAGAAUCCCAGAGGAUCUUGCGAUGAACACUUGACUGACAACAUAUGAGCCUCAAGCUAUUUUAAAGAUGAUGUCCAUGUUACACAUCCUCUUCAGCAAAGUCUGGACUCAGCCACUUGUUACUCUUGAUCAACCCAGAGCAAAGAGUCCUUUUGUCACAUGAAUUUCUUCCACCAUGGAUUAUUCCUCAUGUGGACACAUGCUGGGGGGUUUUCAGAUCUCAGUAGUGUCAUGUGAGGAUACUAGACAGAAAAUUGAAUCUGUUCUGUUUUUAACUGAAUGUUUAAGUAGAAAUUGUUUCUGUAAGUGUAUUAGUCAUAGCCUGUAUUUUUGUUUACUUUGGACUUAUUUCCUGUAUAAUUUCCCAUUUUGAAAUGCUGACAAACUACAUUCCCUUGUGUGUUGUGCUAUAUUUUUAAUAGUAAAAUUUUGGCAUCUGCAGCUGCCGGUAAUUUAUCAUAGACUUGAUUUUUACAAUAAAAUGUCAUAAUGUA